rnacentral:rRNA from 1 species
UGAGUGGCGGACGGGUGAGUAACGCGUGGGUAACCUGCCUCAUACAGGGGGAUAACAGUUAGAAAUGACUGCUAAUACCGCAUAAGACCACAGCACCGCAUGGUGCAGGGGUAAAAACUCCGGUGGUAUGAGAUGGACCCGCGUCUGAUUAGGUAGUUGGUGGGGUAACGGCCUACCAAGCCGACGAUCAGUAGCCGACCUGAGAGGGUGACCGGCCACAUUGGGACUGAGACACGGCCCAAACUCCUACGGGAGGCAGCAGUGGGGAAUAUUGCACAAUGGGGGAAACCCUGAUGCAGCGACGCCGCGUGAGCGAUGAAGUAUUUCGGUAUGUAAAGCUCUAUCAGCAGGGAAGAAAAUGACGGUACCUGACUAAGAAGCACCGGCUAAAUACGUGCCAGCAGCCGCGGUAAUACGUAUGGUGCAAGCGUUAUCCGGAUUUACUGGGUGUAAAGGGAGCGUAGACGGAGUGGCAAGUCUGAUGUGAAAACCCGGGGCUCAACCCCGGGACUGCAUUGGAAACUGUCAAUCUAGAGUACCGGAGAGGUAAGCGGAAUUCCUAGUGUAGCGGUGAAAUGCGUAGAUAUUAGGAGGAACACCAGUGGCGAAGGCGGCUUACUGG